CUGAUAUAGAAGAUAUAUUCACGGUAUACCAAACAGGUUUCCAUCGUUACAUAAAUUCGCCAAAGUGCACUCGACGAUCCAGAAAACAAAGUCAUGCACGAGGUUAAGUGCUUACUUAUCAUCGACCUGGCGUCGAUUCUAAUAGCGCAACGAACCGGUUCGUAUACUAAAAAUCUACUAUUCAAACCAAAUUUUACAAAGGUUAAACAGGACCCCAGUUUAUCGUCACCUAAAUAUUCGCGCAACCAUCCGGAUGUUUGAAAAUUCAUACGCGUAACACGAUCCUCCGGUUCUUGCUCCAACGUAAUGCAUUUUAAAAGUGGAAAGUCCUGCAUAGGUGGCGCUGGUCGCAGAAUUGGCGCGGUAUUGUCUACGAGUACUCCAGCUCUCUCUUUCGCGAUGUCUUUCUCCUUUUUC